UACAGAGGUCCCGAGCGUUGCUCGGUAUCACUGGGCUUAAAGGGCGCGUAGGCGGCCUCUGCAAGUCGACUGUGAAAUCUCCGGGCUUAACCCGGAAAGGUCAGCCGAUACUGCGGGGCUAGAGUGCAGAAGGGGCAACUGGAAUUCUCGGUGUAGCGGUGAAAUGCGUAGAUAUCGAGAGGAACACCUGCGGCGAAGGCGGGUUGCUGGGCUGACACUGACGUGAGGCGCGAAAGCUAGGGGAGCGAACGGGAUUAGAAACCC
rnacentral:rRNA from 1 species